rnacentral:rRNA from 1 species
ACUCCUACGGGAGGCAGCAGUGGGGAAUAUUGCACAAUGGGCGCAAGCCUGAUGCAGCCAUGCCGCGUGUAUGAAGAAGGCCUUCGGGUUGUAAAGUACUUUCAGCGGGGAGGAAGGCAAUACGGUUAAUAACCGUGUUGAUUGACGUUACCCGCAGAAGAAGCACCGGCUAACUCCGUGCCAGCAGCCGCGGUAAUACGGAGGGUGCAAGCGUUAAUCGGAAUUACUGGGCGUAAAGCGCACGCAGGCGGUCUGUCAAGUCGGAUGUGAAAUCCCCGGGCUCAACCUGGGAACUGCAUGCGAAACUGGCAGGCUUGAGUCUUGUAGAGGGGGGUAGAAUUCCAGGUGGAGCGGUGAAAUGCGUAGAGAUCUGGAGGAAUACCGGUGGCGAAGGCGGCCCCCUGGACAAAGACUGACGCUCAGGUGCGAAAGCGUGGGGAGCAAACAGGAUUAGAAACCCGGGUAGUCCCAUG